rnacentral:lncRNA from 1 species
UGUUUUUUUUUCCUUUCUAUAGUUUGAUUCUUCAUCAGCUGUUGUACCGAUUCUUCGAACAUCCAAGUUUGAUUCUUCAUCAGCUGUUAUACCGAUUAUUCGAACAUCCAAGGUUUUGAAUAUGACGGAAACUUCAUCAAGUAUCAGGGAGCCAUCUUUCUGUAGGCAUUUGAAUAGAGCCGAUGAAUUUAUUAUGGCUCUUCCCUCUGACGCGACGACUAAAUUAUGGGGUGUCUAUAAGGCUCCUACUAAUGUUCUGAUAGAAACAGACGACGGGCGUAAAUUUAUUGUUUACAUAAGUGAAGCAAAAGGAAUGUUUUUCCUUUUCAAUGGUUGGUCUGAUGUCAUUACACAUUUAGGAAUUAUAUUCGGAAGUUUUGUAAUCUUUACUCCUUUGGAUUCUACGAG